rnacentral:misc_RNA from 1 species
UUUUUUUUUUUUUUUUCCCUUUUUGUUGCAUCACCCGUCUCAUUUUCUUUUGUUAGAUUGAUGAUAUGGUACUGAUGCUAUGAGUUGUUUUUUCUCUUUUAACAUUUUCAGAAAAUAUAGUCUUUCAUUUGGUGUACAUCUCUCUCUCUUAUAUUUAUUGGAUUAAAUUUGAAAUUUUUUGUCAAAGAAAAGAAGACAUUGCUCUCACACUCUGAAUCCCAACACAUGCUAGCUGUUGUACUUAGUGUUGUCAAUGUUUUGAAGCAUAAUUGCAGGACCAGUGAAGGGCCCAAAAGAGAAGGGCGUUUUUUGAAAUUUAUUUGUUGACGUUGUAAAUUGAAAGUUUAUGCAAAAUCCUAUGAAAAUAUUUGAAUAUAUCAA